GAGGAGAUCUUGAGAAACAGUGGUAAUUUUGCUGUAAUUGUAUGUGUGCCACUCCCCGGCCCUGAAGGGCAUGAGCAAGAAAGACUGAAAGUUGUGAAAUGUACCAGGGAAGACACUGCGGUUCUGUGGUGACAGUGGAAAUGAACAUCUCAAAAGCUGGGUGAUGGCUCAGCUGGACCCAGCAUGUUAGCAACCCUGUGUUUGAACAGAAGGAAAUGAAAAAUAAAGUAGAAGGACAAGGGAAGGAAAUUGGGAUCUCUUUUCAUGGAGGCACAGAAUGAAACGAGGUCUAAACUAGACAGGGUCUCACUGUGUCAUCCAGGCUGGAAUGCAGUGGCACAAUCAUAGCUCUCUGCAGCCUCAAACUCCUGGGCUCAAGCAAUCCUCCCCACUGAGCCUCCAGAGUAGCUGGGACUACAGAGUUAAAGAAGACUUGAAAGAAGGGGAUGUGAGUGGCAGGAAAAUCCCCAGUGACCAGCCCUGAACCUUCUGCCAGCACAGCUCACCUCCUCCCCAAAUGUCUCCCAAUAGGAUCUCAGCCCUAAACAAGCACAGGGCGUGGGGUGGUACAGUUGAUGAUGUAGCUGCUUCUGAGAUGCCCCUGGGUGCUGCUGGAGCUAAGCCCUGGGACUGGAAUGACUUUUGCCCGCAGCCCUCAAAAUUCCCACAUGCCACACCACUACCGUCUCUUGGGUAAAGUAGGAGGG
rnacentral:antisense_RNA from 1 species